UUUAAUGAUUUAUGAAAUCAAAAUUUAAUUUUGAAUUUUACGCUAAAACGGAAUUCGGAUUUUGAAAUCACGUUCGAUUGAAAUUGGAAAACAAUCCCAACCAUUUUGGAUUCAUCAACCUAAAUCCUACUCCUAGCCCAAUUGGGCAAAGCCCAAACCAAUAAACCCAACACAAUACUCCCUUCCCCUUUUUCCUAAUUCACGUGAAACUAGAAAAAAAAAAAAAAAAAAAAAGAGAACCCUUUCCCCUAUUCACGUAACUGCUCCUCCUCAACAAUCCCCUCCUUGCUGCCGCCGCUCACACCGCCGGACCCUCCUGCACGUCACCGGAAUCUUGUCGACGCCGCAACCUGAUUCGCGCAGCCACCGCCAAGUCGCGCCACCGUGUGCCGCCGUGCCCAGCCCCUGCCGCGAGCCACCUCCGUCCGCCGGCUCUCUCUCUCCUCCUUCUUGAAUUGGCGGAGAAUUCUCUUUAGGCGACUUUUGAAAGUGUUAAAGUGGCCUAUCAGUUUGUUUACACAAGUCUCUAAGGAUCAAUAAGCGUUGCCCAUCUACAGGUUUGAAGAUGAUGCAUCAUUGGGAUCGGGAUUAGAGAGCUUGUAGUUAUAUUUGUUUUAUUAAGUGAUUUGGGUUGUUAACUUGGAUUUGAAAGUUGUCGUACUAUUCGUAUUUCCUUAUUUCCGUUAAUUGGUUUUGGACUUAAUAUGUAAUCGAUUAUUUAUGAACCUAAAAGUUAGUUUUAUGUUUUCCGCUGCAAAAUUCUGAAUAAGCCGUUACGUUUUCACACGGGCGAUAAUACUUUGACAAUUCUCUAUAGUUAUAUUUAUAAAAGGGUUGUUUUAG